AGUAAGAACAAGCAUGAGUGAAGGUUUUUUUUUUGUUUUUUUGUUUUUUUUUUUUUUGUCUUUUAACUAUAAAGCACAAUAUUUUGAGACAGAAUCACAGUGUAUAGUCUAAAGUGCUCUUGAAUCUCAACCCUGCUGUCUAAGUUCCCUCCACACUAGUAUCAUAAGCAUGCAGUGUCAUGCUUUGACUACGUUUAUAUAUUCUUUAUACUUUUUGAAAAACCGUAUGAAUGAGACCUGAGUUUAUAGUCUGACUGGUAAAUCACAUGCGUAGCUGUGUUAAAAAUCUAAUCUGCAUGGAGAAAGGUGGGGAGUGAAUGUAUUACCUAUAUAAUAUUUUAAUAUUAUGUUUCUUUAAUAUAGCAAUAAAAGCAUGAGUUUUCAACUUAGAAUUGGAUUUAAUUAUACAAUGUGUGACACUGACAUUAUUGUGCUCUCAUUUCAUGUAUAUAAAGUAGUAAAUGUCUGUCUCAUAAAUUUGUGAGAAAUUACUUUAAAAGUACAGAAUUUACAGGCCUACUCAUAAUGCAUAAUUAAGCUCAUUUAAUCUAUUCUGCCAAUUAUGAAAUAACUUAGCCCAGUACUUCUCACCCUUCCUACUGCGACUUUUUAAUACAGUUUUUUAUGUUGUGGUGACCCCCAAUCAUAAAAUUAUUUUUUGUUGCUACUUCAUAACUGUAAUUUUGCUACUGUUAUGAAUUGUAAAUAUCUGUGCUUUUUCCUUUGGUCUCAGGUGACCCCUGUGAAGCAAUCUGUUGAAUCCCCCAGGGCUGGCAAAGCACAAGUUGAGAACCACUGCCUUAGAGCUUAUCUUUAUACAGAUAGCAUUUAACAUAGAAUACACAUUGUCUUUUCCUCUCUUCAAAUUGAAUGUGGAGGCAGAAGUCUUUGUUUUACUAGGAAAGAGGCCAUGACCCUGACUUGGUUUUGUGACAGUCACUUCAAAAGAAGUCAUAAAAAUAUUUGCAGACAGUGGAAAAGUAAACACAGCUUGGGAACUGAUCCAUGUCGAGAUGAAUAUAGAAGUGAACUGGUAUAAAGUUUCAAGGUGCAAAAUAGCUGUUUGGAAGCUGUGACUCAUGCAGUUGUUCUCAGACAGAGUUCACACAUUUUCAGGAUGAGCAUACUCUUGAACGGCCUGAAGACACGGGCAUGUGUAGCAUGCAGUAUAUUCUUAUAAGCCAGAAUUAUUAGCCUCUGAGAGCGUCUGAGGGACUCCUGAAGAAUACAUUUGGCAGUAAUGAUAAUGGAGACACACUCACAGAGAUAUAGCAACUUUAAACUUAUUUUAUGAACCACAGUGGAAGAGCUUCAAGAGACCCUCUCUUCCUUCCAAAUUCAUUAACUGAGUUUUUCCAAGUAAUUUGAAUCUCAAAGAUUUUAUUUAGUUGUUUUUUUUUUAAAUCAAGAAUGUCAGAUUAGAAAGGGCUAGAAAGUUUAAUCCCAAAGGUUUCUGUAAUAAUAACCAAUCUACCCUGGAGCUCCUACCAACUCCAGCGAUUUUGAGGAAUUUUCUGUAUCAUCUUGUUGUCUGGUUGGUUUACCUAUAAACAUUUUAGUUUCUGCAUGCAAUAUACAGCAAGCAAAACUAAAUGGUAUAUAAUUAUAUAUCAGACUUACAUUCCAUACUACCUAUAUAAUAUAAAACUAUUCAUAAAACACCCCAAAUGAGGUUUUUAUAGUAACAUUAAAAUUACUACCUGAAAUAAAAUGUCCCCACUUCUUCUAAAAUAACACUAGAGCUUAUCUUUAAGCCCUUCCUCUAUUCUCAAGAAUUCUGGUACCGUGUCCAGUCCAUGUCUGCUUGAUUUCUUCUCUUGUCUUUUUUCUUGUCAGAACCAUAGUUGUGCUUUAUAGGUGAUUCGCAGGCGUGGGGAUACUUACCUGCCCCUAAGUGACCCUCCCGUCUUUACUGUCCCUAUCCACUUACCUCACAGCCCUCUCACACCCCUUCUGUAGUGUGUCUUCUUCUGUAUGCACCCGUGCUUCAUUCCGUGUAUGUGUAACAGUAGCUCAUUUACACUUGCUAUGUUGCAUUCCAUCCUGUGACUAUACCACAGUUUACCCACUCAACCAUAAGUAGAAAUCUGAGGUGUUAGCUGGUUGGAGAUGGUAUCAGUUCUUUCAUUCCACGUUUGCUUGGGUCCCUGAGCUCAAACUCAGGUAGUCAGGCUUACAUCAUAGGACAGCAAGUGAUCUCUACCCACUGCGCGGCCUCACUAGCAAGACAGUUUGGCGAUGUUACAAAUAAAACCUUGUCUUUUAUUUACCUCUCUCAUAUUUUGGGCUUAUUGAAAGCAUACAUUUUUUAUGUUUGUCAUUUUGAUGUCUAGUGCAUUGAAAGAGUAGGAGAGAAGAGGAAGGUAGACAUAACAAUUUAGAUAGUACCAUUGCCUUUCUUAAAAUGAUAAUUUUAUGUUUCUCUAGAUCUUUUCUGCAGUUGUGUUCACUAUAGUUCUUUGUAAUGGAAACUCGAACUCUUAAGUACUAGCUAGUAAACUGUUGGAAUUUAUUAAGCAAUAAUGUUUCCAUGUCUCUCUAGCCAAAUCUUCUGCUCCUUCAGAAUGACUAUUAAAUAAACUUUUAUUUUUAACUUUCAAAAAGUUGACUAUAUAAAACCAGUGAUAGAUUCUUAAAUAUGAAAUUAAGCAUUUACAGUUGUAAACUGAUAAUAACUGCAAUUAGGACUUCAUGUUUCCUAACCUUUUUAGUUUUGGGUUCUUCUUAGAGCUUAUUUUAGAGAUGGCAAAAGAGUUUUCAUAAAAUAUAACCUCUUGGAAUAAAGAAUUAGGAAUUGUAAUUUCUUGUUUCAAUUUCUAAAUUUAGUUUAGAUAAUUAAACCCAUGAUUUAUUUUACAUGUUCUAUUUAAGAGUUUACAAUAUUGUUCCUAAUGCACAGUUGGGUAUGUCCACCUGGUGAUAGACUCACUUUGGGUUCAUAUACAACCACAUUGCUUCUUGUCCAAAACAGCAACACUGUCAGGGAGUAGCCUGUGUCAUACCAUGGUCAUGCUAAAGAAAGUAAUACUGAUUAUGGGGUAGAAGACAAAUAUUUGCUUUCACUGAAUACAUUUUAGAAACAAGUCCAGUUGAUCCUCUAUUAGUAAAAGCUCUAUUUGUGAGUUUACUCGCCGCUAAAGCAUAUUUGCAACCCCAAACCAACACUUGGGACAUGUUCAGUUCUUCACAUCUGGACAGAGUAGCAAACAAUUUGAGUCAUAUUUUAAUUUAGAGACAGAAAAGGUAACACUUUGUCUUUCUGGUUUGGGUGUUGUACUGUAGACAGCUGACUUCACAUGGUCUUUAGCACCAUCUUUCCCACAGGUUUGCAAAAACAAAAAACAAAACUGGGGAUCUUGCAAAGCUUUAAGCCUAGGGCUUGUAGGGUGUACAGGGUCCUAAGUCCCAAAAUACUAAGCUAUUCCUUACAGAGAAUAUCUAAUACUUGUAUUAGAUAACCUUCACCAGUGUAUUAGAUACAUACAGAGCUUUUUGCUAUGAGUUUGUUGUAUGUCUAUUUGUUAUUAUAUAAAAUAAGAUUCCUUUAGGUAGAAACAUACAUAGAACGAGAUUUGGUUGUCAAAGUGCUAUGGCCAGAUACUUCUGUGAACCUAGUUCUUUCAUUCUUCUCUUGAUUCUCUUCUCAGAAUUUGCUAAUUCAGUGUUCACAGUACUUUAUAGCUAUCAUGAAUAGAAAACAGUGACUCUACUUGAUGGCCUUCUACUUAAGGUAUUAUCAAGCCAUAUUUCUUAUUUUCUCUAUCACUUAUUACAAAGAACGGUUGGCCUUCAUUCACUACAGGUAGAGAUUUAAUUUAUCCAAGCUUAAAUGUUUUCGUGCUGUGAUCUUAGCUAUUAUGUGCAGUACAGGUGUCUACUACAAAAGUAAUGACUGUCUUCUGUUUUGCCAUGUACUGUGGCCCCCAAUGACAUUGAAGUGUCUAAUCAGCAACCCAGUCAGUUGUCAGCACUGCAGGUGCAGCGUCUGGUCUGAAUGUGCUUCACUUCUAAGUAAAGACCAAACAACUUCUCCUUUGAGGCUUCUCAAGGUCAUUCUCUUCCUGAUGGAUGGUAUAUCUAAAGUCAUUUCAAGAUAAAAGGUCUUUUACAUAUAGUUUUAGUGGUAAGGCAUCCAGUUGGUUUAGAAAGCUUUAUAAGUGAUACAUGGAAUUAAUAUAAUAAAUGCUGAUCUUCCUUAACCACUUCUGUAAGUUUAUGCAAUUGGUUGUACAGUUACACAAUGUGAAGCAUGUCUUCUUUUUGUGCUAAUAAAGUUAAAUGAAGGACUAAAAGUUACUAGCAUAUUCAAUU
rnacentral:lncRNA from 1 species